GACGAACGCUGGCGGCGUGCUUAACACAUGCAAGUCGAACGGAAAGGCCCUGCUUUUGUGGGGUGCUCGAGUGGCGAACGGGUGAGUAACACGUGAGUAACCUGCCCUAGACUUUGGGAUAACUUCAGGAAACUGGGGCUAAUACCGGAUAGGAGCUCCUGCUGCGUGGAGGGGGUUGGAAAGUUUCGGCGGUUGGGGAUGGACUCGCGGCUUAUCAGCUUGUUGGUGGGGUAGUGGCUUACCAAGGCUUUGACGGGUAGCCGGCCUGAGAGGGUGACCGGCCACAUUGGGACUGAGAUACGGCCCAGACUCCUACGGGAGGCAGCAGUGGGGAAUAUGGCACAAUGGGCGGAAGCCUGAUGCAGCAACGCCGCGUGCGGGAUGACGGCCUUCGGGUUGUAAACCGCUUUCGCCUGUGACGAAGCGUGAGUGACGGUAAUGGGUAAAGAAGCACCGGCUAACUACGUG
rnacentral:rRNA from 1 species